rnacentral:rRNA from 1 species
GACGAACGCUGGCGGCGUGCUUAACACAUGCAAGUCGAACGGAAAGGCCCUGCUUUUGUGGGGUGCUCGAGUGGCGAACGGGUGAGUAACACGUGAGUAACCUGCCCUUGACUUUGGGAUAACUUCGGGAAACUGGGGCUAAUACCGGAUAGGAGCUCCUGCUGCAUGGUGGGGGUUGGAAAGUUUCGGCGGUUGGGGAUGGACUCGCGGCUUAUCAGCUUGUUGGUGGGGUAGUGGCUUACCAAGGCUUUGACGGGUAGCCAGCCUGAGAGGGUGACCGGCCACAUUGGGACUGAGAUACGGCCCAGACUCCUACGGGAGGCAGCAGUGGGGAAUAUUGCACAAUGGGCGGAAGCCUGAUGCAGCAACGCCGCGUGCGGGAUGACGGCCUUCGGGUUGUAAACCGCUUUCGCCUGUGACGAAGCGUGAGUGACGGUAAUGGGUAAAGAAGCACCGGCUAACUACGUG